UCUCACUCACUCUGUCACUUAGGCUGGAGUGUAGAGGAGCGAUCCCGGCUCACUGCAACCUCUGCCUCCUGGGUUCAAGCGAUUUUUCUGUCUCAGCCUCCUGAGUAGCUGGGAUCACAAGCAUGCACCACCACACCUGGAUAAUUUUUUAAAUAUUUUUAGUAAAGACAGGGUUUCACCAUUUUGGACAGGCUGGUCUUGAACUCCUGGCCUCAAGUGAUUCACCCACCUCAGCCUCCAAAAGUGCUAGGAUUACAGGCUUGAGCCACUGCGUCCGGCAUCUUCCUUCAUUUUAUUAAUUGCACAGCAUGUGGUAUUUGGUCACCUGUUAUGAGCCUGACUCCAUGCCAAGUGCUGAGGCCGUCACCCUGGUUAAGAUCCCCACCAUCUGCAGCCUACUGCAGUGGAGGAGGCUACAUUCCCGAAGGUAAGUUACAGUGUCAGCAAAGUGCUGUGGGCCCCUGAGCAGGCGGUUGGGAAAGCCUUUACCAAGGCAACGAUACUUGAUUUGGGUCUUAUGGGAGGACAGGGAGUGUAAUCCAAAGUGAAAGGGCAAGGGAGGUCUAGCUAGAGGGAGGGUGGCAGGGGAUCGGGGCCUGGUGUGGAAGUCAUGCGUUGCACUCAUGUGUGCAUGGACCCCAGCAGGGUAAGUGUGAGGCCACAGGCGGGACCCCAUGUGCCAUGCUUAGGGGUUCAGACAUUGUCCUGGAGAUGAUGAAGGACCCCUGAGAGUUUUAAGCAGAGUUGGGUGUGAAGAUGGAUCUGAGAGGCCAAGACCGAGCAGGGAGACAAGUCAUGAUGGUCCUGAUCCGAGACGGUGUGGGAGGUGGGAACUGACUUUAAGAUGGUGGAAAUGCAAAGCCAGGUGAUGUUUCUGGGACAGGAUUGACCAAAUCUAGUGACCUACUAGAUAUAGGGAGAAAAAAUAAGGAAAGCAUAGGGGAUCACACUGAGGGUUUGCAUUUGAGAGACUAGAGUCAGGAGGCAAGGCAGGAUGGGGGUGGAGAAGGGGAAUGAUGGGGCUGAAAUUAGACCACAGUGGUGGUGGGAAUGUGGACACUGAGGGAAGAGGAGGCAGUGAGCACACGAGUCUUUCAUGAUGUUUGGUGAUGAAGAGAAGGAGGGAUGUUCUGUAGCUUUAAAGGAUUUUUCAAAAGUAGGAGAAAGAACCUGUUUGUAAGUAGAGGGAAGAUACGGUAGAGAGGGAGAGAUCAUAGGGUGUAGAGAACUGCCAUUUGCUGAGUGGGUGCCGCUUGCAGGCCCGGAGCCAUGCCCUUAACAUGCAUAUCUCAUUUCAGCAGCAUGCCAACCCAUGGGGUAGCUCUACUUAUACCCAUUUUCUGAAUGAAGAAACUGAGGCAGACCGAUGGAUUCACCCAGGGAUGGGACUUGCUGAGCAGUUGAAGCAAAAGAAUAGAGUGACUGGGAAGGGAAGAAAAUGAAGUCAAACGAAAGCUAAUAGAAUGGGGUGGCGGAGUGCGGGGCUUAACGGGCUGAGGGGUGUCUAUAUUCCAGACGUGGGAUUUGGAGUUGUUCUGGCUAAUGUCAAAGACCACACACAAGGACAUGGACGUCAACGGUUCAUUCACAUGAGAUGACAGUUACCCAGGAUGAACCAACUGCAAAAAGCUGUCUGUGGAUGGUAACUGCAGGUGACCUGAAUGCAUGUGCCUCCUCCUUCUUUUUCCGCUUUUUGUCUUUUCCUUAAGCCUCUCUGAACAGUAUCUUCAGAAGUGUCUGUUUCCCACAGAGCAUGGUGUGUCCAAGAAAUACCCCACAUUCCCAUUGCCUUUGCUAUUUAAUGCUGUAGUUGGGAGAGGCAGUCUUGCUUUCUGCUUGCCUGUCUUUUUGGAGCACAUAUGAACUACAAAUAGAUACAGCCCACAUUUUGCCUCAAAGAUAUAUUCUUUGUUUUCUCCAAGUUGCCAAGUUGAACUCUAAGCUGAUGUUUAAUUUAUCUGUGGUAAUGAGGAACGGGGAUAGCCUUGCAUAAUUGGAAUCUGAAGAUAAGCCAAAAGCUUCUUUUAGCCAAAAUUCCUACAUCCUUUCCCACCAACUCUUUAUGCCUGUGUUGCUAACAAAUGGCAAAUUGACUAAUCUGAGUUUCACCAGUUCUUUGUGUGGUGUAUCUGACCUUUCACAAUGGGUUCAUACCAGAGUCCACUUCCAUGGUCCUUCAAGAUGUGGGUGUCUGGUUCUCAGGUAACCAACCAAAACCUUUGUACCUACCACUCAUGUAUAUUUCAGUUGAAGUUAGAAAAGCACCCCCUCAGUCUAUAGCUAACCUCUGGUGAAAUUGAGGAAUGAAUGAAUUGCUAAGCCAUCUAUAAAUAGAAUUCCGGGACAAUUCAUCUGAUGUGAGAGACAACCCUUUGAUAGGUUUCUGAGAAGAUGUGUGAAGCCACUACUCUCAAUUGUUCUUUCAUUUACUUUUUGCUAAUCAAAGCCCCAGACAUAUUCCAAAAUGUGAGAUGUUUUGGAAGAUUAACCAAAACACAAGCUGAAAUUUACCAGGGGCUCUGUAUAAAGUUAUACCCUUAGGCUUUUAUUCUCAAAGCCCUCCCAAGUACAGAAGUGUAGCAUGGGAUGAUGUGACAUAGAAUCGCAGAGUGGGAGGAGCCCACCAUACUUCAAUUCAGUGUAUCCAGAAGGAAAACUAAGGUUCACAGACUUGCUUAGGGGCUUAGUCAAGGGACUAUUUGUUCAGAACCAACAUUCAUACAAAGAGUCUUAAAUUUAAAAGGGGAUUUAUUUCAGAGAAACCUCAUGGAAACCAGUUGAAAGAGGGUUAGUGGGGACUUUCGGGAAGUGAAAAGUCGCUGGUUAAUUUCUCUGUUUCUAUCUCUGUGGGGCCUUGCAGAUUCUUUUCUUUGCUUCCGGGAGCCUUCUUCAUAUCUGCAGUGGAUAUGAGGUGAUAUGGUUUGGCUCUGUUCCCCACCCAAAUCUCAUCUCGAAUUGUAAUCCUACGAUCGCCACGUGUCAAGGGCAGAAACUGGUAGGAGGUGAUUGGAUCGUGGGGGCAGUGUGCUGUUCUCGUGAUAGUGAGUGAGUUCUCACGAGAUCUGAUGAUUUUAUAAAGGGCUCUUCCCCUUUCGCCAUUCACUCUGUCCUGCUGCCUUGUGAAGAAGGUGUCUGCUUCCUCUUCACCUUCUGCCAUGAUUGUCAGUUUCCUGAGGCCUUCCCAGCCAUGCUGAACUGUGAGUCAAUGAAACCUCUUUCCUUUAUAAAUUACCCAGUCUCGGGUAUUUCUUUAGAGCAGUGUGAGAAUGGACUAACACGAGGCUUCGCUGGUCUCUCAUGACCAACCCAAAAGGCAAGGUCAGCUUCCAUGUCUCAAUGGCCUUCCAGUGAGGCCCCUCACAGCUAACUGACCAGGGCAGGGGUCUCCUUGGUCCAGCUGAGAUCAGGGCCUGGCUCCGGCCCAUGCCUGUGGUAAGAGUGGGACUAUCCCUUGUGGAGCUGACAAGGGCUGACUCUCUGUAAGGGUGGCUAAGGCACUACUGGCCACUCUGGUGCCCCAGGAUGGCACAGGCAGGUCAGAACCUGGCUGUCACUCCAGGCCAGCCUUCUGCCACUGACUGGAAAGGUGGGCUCAAACACAACUGCAGUUAAAAGAGAGGAAUUGCCCCGGAGGUGAAUGCAGUCACCUGCAUAGGGGAAAAGGAGGUGAGAGGCCUGCUCUACUCCCCCUGAUCAGAUGCCAUCCAAGGGCACAUGGCUGACAUGUUUGAAGAAAAACCCAGAGUCAACUCAGAGCCCAACUCAGGCCUGAUAAAAAGUGACUAUGAUGAUGAAGAGAUUCAAAAUUAUGCUGCAGAAGGAAUGGCUGGAGGGUCUAGGCGUAUUUCACCUGGAAAGAGGAAGCUUUAAAGGAGAUGUGAGUCUUUUGUCCAAAUGUGUAGACUGACUAAAUUCUUUAAAGAGUUUUAUGUUUGUGUAUAUCUGAAGGGUCCAGAACUAGCAUCAAAGGGUAGAAUUUAGAGGGAGGAAGACUUUGGAUUAAAAUUAGGGGCCACAUACUUUCUGUGAGGGUAUCUUGAUAUUGGCUGCCCUGUCACAUUUAAGAAAGGAUGGGAUGAUCAUUCGUAAGAGAAGCUGUAGAGCUGAUCCACAAACUAAGGGAGUUCUGAAGUCUAUUCUAGUUUGGAAUUCUAUGGCUCUGCUGCAGGUGCAUCUGGUUGGCUGGAUUGAUUGCUAUCACAGGGGCAGAGGCCACUGUGUAUGAUCACUUAGGUCAGUGAAAUCAGUAGAGGCCAAGCGGCUGCACCACUGGAGGACAGCAGGUUGCCCUGAUCCUGAAUCCCUUCAACACUGGGCCUUCUCACAUCUGUUUGAGACAAGCCACUUUCAGCUGAGAUGCACUAGAUCCUUCAAGCCUCUCUACCACCCACAGGGUCACCAUCUGCUGGAGCGGCCAGUGGGGCUGCAGGUUACCCAUCAAAGCCCAAGCUAUGAAAUUGUCAUUGAGAGGAGUGCUUUAGACAUAGAGCUCAUUUGGUGGCAGAGAUCAGAAGCUUGUUCAAAGCAGCCUGGAAUUUUUAAAAGAAUAAGGGAAACAUGUAAAGGUAUGCAUUUUUAAGGUUUAAAGUGGUUUUGCAGAAACUCAAGAAAAGCUGAACAUCAGGAGUGAGGGGGGACAGAAGUUAAAGCCACAAGAGUUCACCAGUCUUUCUACUAGCGUGCUACUAUCCAUGUGACUCAGCUCUUAUCCUCAGGGCUGCUGCUUAUUCCCUCUCCUUGUGUCUCUUCACUCGAAACCCAGGAGAGGACUGUGAUUGCUAGCUAGUUGAUAGAUUGGCUGGUUGGAUCUCUUUUUUUUGAGACAGAGUCUCACUCUGUCACCAGGUUGGAGUGCAGUGGCACGAUCUCGGCUCACUGCAACCUCUGCCUCCCAGGUUCAAGUGAUUCUCCUGUCUCAGCCUCCCAAGUAGCUGGGACUACAGGCGCACGCCACCAUGCCCAGCUAACUUUUGUAUUUUUAGUAGAAAUGGGGUUUCACCAUGUGGCCAGGAUGGUCUCGAUCUCUUGACCUCAUGAUCUGCCUGCCUCGGCCUCCCAAACUGCUGGGAUUACAGGCGUGAGCCACCGCGCCUGGCCAGCUGGUUGGAUCUCUUACCCAUCCCCAGACUAAUAAACCCUAGGCUUCAGGGCCUGAUUAUCCAGGGCUGUACCUAGAGCAAGUUAAGCUAGAAAGAGAAAUUGGGCUUGGCAGAAACGUUGACCAAAUCCUUCAAUACUGAGGACAACCAAGAGUACUGAGUAACCCAGCAGGAUGUGCACCCAACCAGUCCAUACUAAUUUGGGGUCAUUCAUACCUUUGCAGUUUUAACUCCUUUUCUCUUCCUCCACUUGCUUUUCUCUUUAUAUCAACAAAAUCUUAUUGCUCCUUAUUGGUUCAAUCAUCCCAAAAUACAUCAGUAUAAUAUAUAUAAUUACUAAUAUACAGUUGUUAGUGAGUGAAUUAAUUAGAAUGAAUAAUCAAGGUUUGAUGUUCAAUGAGUUUGUAAUACCUAAACCAGAGUUUAGGUAGGUAUUAUAUACAUUAUUUACCUAAACUCUGGUAUUAUAUACAGGCUCUUGGGCUAGCAGGCAUACUGAUGUAUUCUGGGAUCAUUGAACAUCAAGCGUUGAUUAUUCAUUCUAAUUAAUGCACUCAUUAGUAAUUGUAACAAAUAAUUAUUAAGUGCUGAAUUAUGAGCAUAGCUCUCUUCUAGAAAAACGGAGGAAUAAUCUGUGGUUUAUGUCCUCAGGCAGCUUGCAGUCUAUCUGAGAAAACAAGACAUACCCUCAAGCAGAUAAUUGCCAUUUACAGUCAUUCCUAUGAUCUCAGCACUAUGUGGGUUUAAUCAGCCUUCUGCUAAAAGGAACCAGGUCCAAGACAUUCAGCAUGGCAUGGUAGCUAAGCAAGAUCCAGUGUCUUCAUUCAGCACUGACAGAGUCACUGUCUCUGAGCAGUACUUAGCUACAGAAACUUUGAAGCCUUCUGCAAUUUAUUAUGCUGAGUGCAUCUAAUCAACAUGUAGAAUAAAGAUGGAGCUCCAGAGAAGUUAGCACGCAAUCUGGGUGACAGGUGCUGAGCAAGGACAGCCUCUUCCCAAUACUCUCCAAGCGGCCUGCUGUUUCCAGGGAAUGAUAUUAUCAUUCUUGGCAUCUAGAACAGGACUCAAUGUAAGAUUGUCUAAGGCAGUCACUGGCUACAGUUCAUGGAAGCUUCAGGACGGCACUUGGCAUGAGCUCUCAGUGCUAUGGAAAAAAGAAGCUCUUAGGUGGAAUAUUUCUAGCUAAAAAAUGUAUAGUUUUUUUUGUUGUUGUUUCUGUUCCUUUCAUUUUUAUUUUUAGAAAUAGGAUUUCAAAGGGCAUUUGUCCUGGUCCCUCAGGAAAGAACAUUUUCUAAAGUGUUCCCAUCAACAAUGCCUCAGGUGUUACAGGUCCCUACUCUUGGCCAUCCAGCUCUGCCACCGUGCCUGGAUUCUGCAUUUUCAAAGGGACCAGCUUACCAGCAGCAUCCUCUUCCUGCUGCCUCUUGACUCACACAGAUCCCAUCAAUAAGCAUUCACUGAGGCCUGCUCUAAGUGAGGCUCUGGGGAGAGUGCUGUGGGAGCUUCAAGAGCAAUAGCAGCCCUGAGCUCCAGGAGCUUCCCCUCUGAGGUGGGGAAUUGCGAUGCAUGGAACAUCUCCAACACACAAAGCAGACUCUUGCUAGGCUUCGAACUGGAAUUGCAUUGAUCGUAUUAACUUGGGGGAGAUCUGAUAUAUUUAAAAGAAAAAAAUAAGCCGGGCAUGGCGGCUCACGUCUGUAAUCCCAGCACUUGGGGAGACUGAGGUAGGUGGAUCAUUUGAGGUCAGGAGUUUGAGACCAGCCUGGCCAACAUGGUGAGACCCCGUCUCUACUAAAAAUACAAAAAUUAGCCGGGCGUGGUGGGUGCCUGUAAGCCCAGCUACGUGGGAGGCUGAGGCAGGAGAAUCGCUUGAACUUGAGAGAUGGAGGCUGCAGUGAGCUGAGAUCAUGCCACUGCACUUCAGCCUGGGUGACAGAGUGAGACUCUGUCUCAAAAAAGAAAAAAAAAAAAAAAGAAAAAAAUAUAGGCGAUGGAACAGAAAAGUGGGCAGUGGCUAUGAAGAUGCAAUCCAAAUAUAAGGUAAUACUUAUCACCAAAGAAAUAGCAAUUAAGACAACAGUGAGACAGCAUCUUGUGUCUGUCAGAUUGGAGGAAAAAUACUAAAUUGAAUAAUGUGAAUUGUUGUUGAGGAUUGUGGAACUAGCCUUCCAUGAAACGUUUCUAGAAGUCUAAAUGAGUGUAGACACUCCAGAGAGCAAUCUGGCGGUAUUUAGCAAUCCCAUACCUGGGCAUAUAACUUGGACAAACUCUGAUUAUAACAGACUAGGCCCAAGGAUAUGUUUAUUGCAGUAUUAUUGGUGGUAGUGAUGAGUUGGAGGCAAUAUAAGUUUCUACCACAAGGAGGGUUGAUAUGAGCGUUUGAUGAAUAGUAUGCAGUAGUCAGAAUAAUAAAACAGAUGUACACUCAGCAUGGAGAAAUCUGAAUAAGAUACUGUUGGCUGAUGACAGUAAGACAUGGAUUGAGAUAUAUAGUAGAGUGUCAUUUAUAUAAAUUCAAAACACGUGCACAAGAUGAUCAUGUCUCUAGUAGCUACAAAAGUGCUUGAUACAGAGUAGGCCUUCAGUAAAUUGUUUUACUUGUUGUCAAUAAAAAUAUAUAUACUAAAUAAAUAUCUAACAUUUAUGUAAGUUAAGAAUACAUAGACAUAUACAUAUUUUAAGGGUAUAUACAAAUGCGAAACAUAAUUUAAGGGUACGGCUCUUCUGGAUAGUCCAGCGUUCAAAUGGAGUUCUCUGGAGUGAAGUAAAAUUAAUUCACAAACCUCUGUUGCAUCCAAGGUCAAAUACUCUCACGAACACCCACUCUCUGUUCCCUGGUUUAAUACUCACUGAGUAACAUUCUGAAGCCUGAGACUUUUAUACAUACCCAGUUUCCAGAAAAGGCACAAAGAAGCUUUCCCCAAAAGAAAAUACAUGAAUAUUCCAUUUAUUUAAAAACAUCCGAGCAGGUCUAAGCAAUAUAAAUUAAUAUAGCAGCAUCAGUGUCUUGUGAGUUAAGACGAGUGUCCUAAGAUUUAGUUGCUUAACUGAUUCCUCUAUGUCCCUAAAUCAAAUGAUGAAAUACAGAUUUAGGUUCCAUUUUUUUGAAAGAAUACUUCAUAGGUCAUUCUGUCUACUUCCUACUGCACCACAUUUAGGAGGGAGGCACAUCAUGUGUGGUUGUCUCUUUAGUAAUUCUGAGAUUGGUCAAGGGGUCCAGGUGGUGUCUGACCUUAUUCCAUCAUUACAAAAGAAGUCACCAUCUACUUUUUACCUAGUGGUUUCAGUAUCUUUGGAUAAUCACUGCCCGGAUUUAUCAAGGUUUGCAAAAUGAUUUUCUAAUUCUGUGGUUCCUUCUAUACACAUUAGCUGGGAUUCUUCAAAAUGUAACUUACAAAACAAACAAAAUCACUAUCAAGACUUGACAUUCCUUCUUCCAUAUCAAUUUUCAGAAUAGUGAUAAAAGUUACCAGUAAUGAUUUCUAGUGGAGACCAAUAUGUUUUUCUCAUCAUUAUAUACUUUUUUUUUUUUUUGAGACAGAGUCUUGCUCUGUCACCAGGCUAGAGUGCAGUGGUGUGAUCUCUGCUCACUGCAACUUCCGCAUCCUGGGUUCAAGCAAUUCUCCUGCCUCAGCCUCCCAAGUAGCUGGGACUACAGGUGCACACCACCACGCCCAGCUGAUUUUUGUAGUUUUAGUAGAGACAGGGUUUCACCAUAUUGGCCAGGAUGGUCUCGAUCUCUUGACCUCGUGACCUGCCCACCUCAGCCUCCCAAAGUGCUGGGAUUACAGGCAUGAGCCACUGCGCCCAGCCCAUAAAUUUUUAUAUAUUUGAUGAGGUUGAAUUAAUUGCCAUCAUUAUUCUCUUUUCUCUCUCUCUUUAGGAUCCUUAAACAGCUUAUAUUCAAUAAACUGCAUAUGUUUAAAUGGCACACUUUGUAAAGUUUGGUGAUACUGUACAGUCACAAAAGCAUAAUCAAUGUAGCAAACAUAUCUAUUGUAAUCUAAAAUGUCCUUGUGCCUUUUUUAACCUCCUGCUCCUCCUCCAUACUAUAUCCCCAGGCGACCUCUGAUUUACUUUAUGUUGGAAUUUUUGAGAAAUUCAUACAAAUGGCAUUAUUUAGUAUGUACUCUUUGUGUCUGACUGCUUUUACUCAGCAUAAUUAUUUUGAGAUUCAACAUGUUGUCUGUAUCAAUACCUUUAAUUGUCAAGUGGUAUGCUAUUGUAUGACUAUGUCACAAUUGUUUAGCCAUCGAUGAACAUUUGGGUCGUUUCCAGUUUGGGGUUACUACAAAUAAAGCUGCUAAGAACAUUUUUAUAUAAAUCUUUGUGCAGACAUAGAUUUUAUUUCUAUGGGAUAAAUACCUACUAGUGGAAAGGCUACAUCAGAUAGUAGGGUAUAUACUUAACUUUUCAAAAAAAACUGCAAAUGUGCUUUCCAUAGAAGUGCUAUUGCACAUUUCUCCUGAGCAUGAGAAUUUCAAUUCUUCCCCAUUCUCUCCAAUAUUUAGUAUGGUCAGACCUUAUAAUUUUAUCCAUUUUAAUAGGAGUAUAUUAUGGUUUGAAUGUGUCCCCUCCAAAAUUCAGGUGUUGACAUUUAAUGGCCAAUGUGAUAGUAUCAAGAGAUAGGACCUUUAAGAGGUGGUUAGGUCCUGAGGACUCCUCACUCAUGAAUGGGAUUAAGAGAUUUCGUGCAGCUUUUGACUCCCUUGCCCUUUCACCUUUCACCAUGUGAGGACACAGUGUUCCUCCCCUCCAGAGGACGCCACAACUGGGCGCCAUCUGGGAAGCAGAGGGCAGUCCUCAAUAGACAAAGGAACCUGCCAGCAUCUUGAUCUGGGACCUUGCAGCCUCCAGAAACUAUGAGAAAUACAUUUUUGUUCUUUGAUAAAUUACCCAGUCUUCUGUAUUUUGUUAUGGCAGCACAAAAAGAACUGUGACACUGUGUACAUGUACUUAAUCGUGGUUUUACAGCAGUCUCCCUUUCUCUGCUGUUUCACUUUUUUGUUGUUUGUUUGUUUUGAGAUGGAGUCUCGUUCUUGUCGCCCAGUCUGGAGUGCAAUGGCGUGAUCUCGGCUCACCGCAACCUGUCCUCCUGGGUUCAAGCAAUUCUUCUGCCUCAGCCUCCGAAGUAGCUAGGCUUACAGACACGUGCCACCACACCCUGCCAAUUUUUGUAUUUUUAGUAGACAGGCUGUUAGGCAGGCUGGUCUUGAACUCCUAACCUCAGGUGAUCCGCCCACCUUGGCCUCCCAAAGUGCUGGGAUUACAGGCAUGAGCCACCGCACCCAGCAUGCUGAUUCACUUUCUGCAGUUUCAGUUACCCACAGUCAACCAUGGGCCAGAACAUAGUUACACUGCCACAAGUUGUGGAUGGGAGGGCUGGAUUUCCUGAACCCUUCCCAGCAUUGCUCGAGUUUCUUGGUUCCUCCGCUAGAGAAGAGGAGCCCCAGAGCUCUGUAGGCUCCAGAAAAGUGCCCAAAUCAUAAGCAGACAUCUCAUUGGAUUUACUGAGCACACCCAGGUAUCCACCACCCAAGGGAAGCAACGAAGGUGACCCCACCCAGCAUUUACCCUGUGUCCCUAUCUUGGACAUUGAUUCUGCUCCAGAGGUCACAAUCUCAUGCCGCCAAUUGCCAUAGAUUCGUUUUGCUUGGUCUUAAACUUUAUAUAAAUGAAAAUUCAACUUUAUGCUGUCUACAAGAGGCAUACUAACUCAUAAAAAUUAAAAGACUGACCCAGAAAACACAGCAAAAAGAAAAAUAUCACGAAAUGAUUGUCAGUCCAAUUAAAAUUCAAGACUGGAAGAAUUCAUGGGUCAGAGAAGGCAGGCUAGGCUGGCCCACUUUAGCCUAAAUCCCGGGAUCCAGCAAGCAUUCAUCUCACAUAGCUCGGGUUUUACUGAGUUGGUUCCUCUGCCUGCUUCUCUGACUUGUUUACCCGUGGAGUACACGAGAACUACAACCCCCAGCAUGCACUGCGCUGGUACAAGUGGAUCUGCUCGGCACCUAUAACCUAAUUACCUCUCAGGCUCACACAAGUCUCUGGCCGCUAAGCGAAUGAUCUCCCAAAGGGAUUAUUCUCAAGCAGCACAGAAACUGUCCCUAUGCCUCAGGUGGCCCCAGAACUCUUUCGUACUAGAGACUUAUCUGUUAAUAAAGUUAACAAAGGAAAGUGGCCUUCCAAGAAUGUUUGUUUGGGCCACUACCUGGAAGAAAUAACACUUGACCAUGAGAGACUUGGCUGAGCAGUGCUGGGUCAGCUUAACCAAAGAAGACCAGCCAUCACCCACGGCAAGAGCAGCUCUGACUUGGACCCACUGUUCCCCCAGCCUGUUAGCAGCCUGUGAACAAUCUUUAAGUGACCCCUGGCCCUGUCACAUCUCCAUUCAACAGGGUUCUUGGGGAGGAUGUGUGGACCGAGAACAGUGCCCACCCACACCACCUGUAAGUGUGGCCACGGCAGCCAGCCAGCAUGGAUGCUAAGUAACAAGUGGUAUUGGGGCACAGAUGUGGCGGGAGCGCUUUGGGGCAAAGAAAGAGGUGCUGUGAGUGAGGACAGAAAGGAAGGGGAAAAAAAAGCCUCAUGGGUUAGAGCGCCUCUCACCUUUGGCUCUUCUUCAGAAGACUGGUAAAAGAAAACAAGAAGAGAAAUUGGUUUCCCUGACUUCUCUAAAGCAAGCGUUCUUCAGAAAAGAGAAUCGAUCAGCCUGGUUAAAGUGGAUAAACUAUGUGAUGUCCAUCCAGAGAGGUGUCUAUUAAUGGCUGUAAAAUGGAAAGAUGAAUCAAUGGGACCGAUUAAUAUUUAUGAAGAGUUGAACUAGGCAGAGUGAAAAAGCCUUGUAUAUUGGAUAAGAAAGGAAAAGCAUUGCACACCAUAGGAUGCGUUUGUUUGGCUAAGGUUUCUGUUUUGAUCACUGGGUAAUUGUAUAGAGCAGGGGCGUAUGGUAGAGAAAGAAAAUCUAUAUCUAGAAGUUAUUGACUUUAUGUACAAAAGCACUGGUUGGUGCCUAUUUUUGAGGACCACUCCAUCUUAAAAAUAACUUUGGUUUUGUACGGCCUAGUUGUGGUGGAAAAGGAGCUCCAAAGAGUAAGCAAGUUUCCUACAAAAAGAAUCCAAGCUGUUGAAACUACAAUUAAGAAAUGCAAAGAGUUACUAAUUUUACUACUUAGAGGAAAGGAAAUUCACAAGCAGGAAAGAAACUGUGGAUCAGGGCAAGUUGUAACUCUAGAGGUUCAGAGAUAGGAGCUCUAAUUACACCAGGGCAAGGGAGUACUGUUUGGGGAAAUUUCUGAAACAUGAAAUAGGAAAGCUGAGGGUCAAAAUGAUAUUGUGAUGUGAAUAAAUAGAGAAGACAUGUUUGCAUGGAGCUCAGCUGGGUAAUCAUGGAAAGAAGGAGGGGCGAAGGAGGAAACUGAAAAUCGAAAUAAAGAACAGAAGCACAGACCAUGAAAUAUGCCAAAUAUAGUGUGCAAAUACUCAGAAGGCAUGGAAAGAUAAGUUAGAAGCCAAAACUCAGUUAUCACUAUCGUGUGAAGGAACAAUAAAACUCUUAGCAAAAACAAAUGACUUAGCAUGAGACCAAUACUGCUUUCCUUAGGUAGCUUGGUCCAGAGGGAAAAGGCUGAUAUCACUCCCUAUCAAGGGUUUUUAGACGGUUUAAGUGAGCUCUGCAAGUGGGAGACACGGUGAUGAUUAUUGACAGUUGCUAUCUUUCAAGGGGGAGAAGCAAACUGAUGUUACACAUUAGAAUUAGUUAGCACCACCGAACACAGGUUACAAAAAUACUGGGAGGAAUUCUCUCUCCUGAGCACAUUACGCAAUAUUUGCAAAUGUGUGCAGGUAAGUGUUGACUCUCUCAUCAUGCUGGACCUGGAAAUGGUUCUCAGCAAAUCAUGGCAUGAUUUCUUUUUCAAAGUUGGGUACACGAAUAUUAUCGUAACCAGCUAAGAGCAGGGAGACGUGGCAUGGGAGACUAACAGAUAGUGCAGCUUUUAAGAGAAGACGUAGAAAUCAAUCUAGUAACAAAUAUUUAUUAAGCAUUGGAGUGUGCUAGGCACCAAGAGAAAAGAAACCUCCACAGCUGAUAAAGCCUUUCAAAAUAAUGUCCUCAGUUAAUUUGCACAUUUCCAUGAGGUAGGUGUUGUUAGCCAUUUCCGUUAAUGAGAAAAAAAAAAAUGAGAUUCAGAAAGGUUAAUUAAAUUGGAGAUCUCCUGAUUUUUUAGUUUUAUAUCCUUCCCGUGUCCUUUCCAGGCUUAUAUUCUGGUCCUAUCACUUCUCAGCUGAGUUACUUCAACAAGUUAUUUAUUCUCUGUGUUCCCAGCUGUCAAAAUGAAAAUGCCAGUACCCACCUGGUAAGGAGUGAGAGAACAUUUAUAAAAAUGCUCGGCUGGGUACCUGACACAUAGGAGGUCCUCAGUAAAUUUGUUUUCUCCCUUUCUUCCUGAAGUACGGUGGCAGAGGGAUUCAGCCAGCCAGCCUGGGUAGCACAAGCCAUGAUGCCCUGCUGAAUCUGUGUUCUAGGGUCGGACAGGGGGAGUCCUUUUGCCUAGAGGGAUGGUGUGCGAGGCCUAAGAGGACUUGGGCAGAGUCUUGAAGGACGAGCAGGAUUUGCUGUGGUGGAGAGGUGGUCACGGGUUGAGCAGAUAGGAGAACCAAGGAAUCAAGGCAGGGAAAGAGAGGGGAUGCAUGUGAAGGGCCAGGAGCUGUUAACUAGUUUGCUAAGCAGCAGGCGAGGAUUUAGAAGGAGUUGGAGAAGUGUGGAGGGAGCUGAGGCUCUUGUGAGGGGAACUUUUAUGCUAAGGGUUCCAACUUGGCCCUGUGAAUGAAGGUGAGCUGGGGAAGGUUUGUGAACUUGGAGUCUCACCUGUAAAAGAUUAAUCUGGUGCCAGUGUACAGAAUGGACCGUCAAGGAAGAGGUGGAAAAACAAGGAAAAUUUGUAUUUUAUAGACACACACACACAUAGACACAGAGCCCUUUUUAUUAGAAAACAUAUAAUCAACUUAACCCCAUUUUAAAUGGCUUGGACAUUAAUUUUACUCUUGUAAUUGAUUAUAGAGGUUUAAAACUGUUGUGUUUUUGCCUUUGUGACAUAUUAUGGCUGUAUCUAAAAUUUAUUUGAUGUUAAAUCAAGAACAAAACUCUUCAAUUCUAUUGUUGUUCCUAAGGUAAAAUAUAAUCUACUUUGAGUCAAUUCACUGUGUCAUAAACUUUCCAGGAAUGGGAAACUUGAUAAAAAGCAGAGACUCACUGCAUAUGACAAUAAUUAAAUCUAUAUUCAACAAGUAUAAAAGAAUGGUUGUAGGGGUGAGCAAUUUGGAAGAAAAAAAGCCACUUGACUUAAAUAUGACAGAAAAUCAUACUGAGGUCUGACACCCCAUGACCUUUUUUGAGAUUUGAGGUUAUGCCAUGUAUUUGAGAAUAAAUAAAAUCCAUUUAAGUGUCUAUAUUAUUAAAUGAAUCGUAUUUUCAGAAAGCAUUAGAUAAAGUCUGUUUUAGACCUUGGAAUCCAUUUUUCUCAUGAACACAAUAUCGUAAAUAGAUGAGAAUUGAGUUCCCAGUCUAUAAAACCCUUAUUAAAUCAUCAUGUAGCUGAACUAUUCUAUAUUGGCAAUCAAUAGAGUUGAGUAAUCUUUUCAUAGUCACAGUGAUAAAAAAACAAAAAAUAUUGAAGAAGUAAUUUUUCAAAAAAUAGAGGUAUAGCACGUUUAAUUAUGGAUUAAGAGGCCGAUAAAUAAUUUUGUGGUGAUUCUGAAGAGACUAUCUGGGCACUUUCAAAAGCUUUAGAGUUGAUAAACUGUUCUUAUUAUGUCUAAUUUAAUAUUCAAAAUUUAUGACCAUUCAUUCAUUCAUCAAACAUAACUUAGAUAUCUACAAUAGGUAUUGUGCUAGCCGCUGGAGAUUUCAAUGUAAUGAAACAGUUCCUAACUUAAAGAAAAGCAGCACUUGAAAUUUUACUAAUGCAUUCAGUCAUUUACUUAACAGAUACUGAAUGUUUGCUACCGUGAGUCUAUUAUUCCUAUGCGUAUCAACUCCCAGGAAGCAUGUGUAGCUCGCUGAUGGAAUACAGAGAAAUAUUCCUGAGAGAAUACCAAAAAUAGUCCGUUUGUGCUACUAAAACAAAAUGGCUGAGACCGAGUAGCUAGCUUAUAAAGAACAGAAAGCUAUUUUCUCACAGUUCUGGAGGCUGGGAAGUCCAAGAUAAAAGCACCAACGGGUUUGGUUGUCUGGCAAAGGCUUCUCUCUGUUUCCAAGAUGGUGCCUUGUUGCUGUGUCCUCCAGAGGGAAGGAAUGCUGUGUCUUCACAUGGCAGAAGGCUGAAGGGCAAGUGAGCUAACACUGUGUGAAGCUUAUUUUAUAAGGACCUUAAUCCCAUUCAAGAGGGAG
rnacentral:lncRNA from 1 species